UACGUAGGGGGCAAGCGUUGUCCGGAUUUAUUGGGCGUAAAGAGCGUGUAGGCGGCUUUACAGGUCCGUUGUGAAAACUCGAGGCUCAACCUCGAGACGCCGGUGGAAACUGCAAAGCUAGAGUCCGGAAGAGGAGAGUGGAAUUCCUGGUGUAGCGGUGAAAUGCGCAGAUAUCAGGAAGAACACCCGUGGCGAAGGCGGCUCUCUGGGACGGUACUGACGCUGAGACGCGAAAGCGUGGGGAGCGAACAGG
rnacentral:rRNA from 1 species